GGUUUAAUUCGAUGCAACGCGAAUAACCUUACCUGGCCUUGACAUCCACGGAACCCUGCAGAGAUGCGGGGUGCCUUCGGGAACCGUGAGACAGGUGCUGCAUGGCUGUCGUCAGCUCGUGUCGUGAGAUGUUGGGUUAAGUCCCGCAACGAGCGCAACCCUUGUCCCUAGUUGCCAGCAUUCAGUUGGGCACUCCAGGGAGACCGCCGGUGACAAACCGGAC
rnacentral:rRNA from 1 species